rnacentral:rRNA from 1 species
UUAAGUUAAUAAGGGCGCACGGUGGAUGCCUUGGCACUAGAAGCCGAUGAAGGACGUGACUAACGACGAAAUGCUUUGGGGAGCUGUAAGUGAGCAAUGAUCCAGAGAUGUCCGAAUGGGGGAACCCGGCAUGUAAUGCAUGUCACUCAUUACUGUUAAGGUAAUGAAGAGGAAGACGCAGUGAACUGAAACAUCUAAGUAGCUGCAGGAAGAGAAAGCAAACGCGAUUGCCUUAGUAGCGGCGAGCGAAAUGGCAAGAGGGCAAACCGAUGUGUUUACACAUCGGGGUUGUAGGACUGCGACGUGGGACGACAAGAUUAUAGAAGAAUUACCUGGGAAGGUAAGCCAAAGAGAGUAACAGCCUCGUAUUCGAAAUAGUCUUUAACCCUAGCAGUAUCCUGAGUACGGCGAGACACGAGAAAUCUCGUCGGAAUCUGGGAGGACCAUCUCCUAACCCUAAAUACUCUCUAGUGACCGAUAGUGAACCAGUACCGUGAGGGAAAGGUGAAAAGCACCCCGGGAGGGGAGUGAAAUAGAACCUGAAACCGUGUGCCUACAACAAGUUCGAGCCCGUUAAUGGGUGAGAGCGUGCCUUUUGUAGAAUGAACCGGCGAGUUACGAUAUGAUGCGAGGUUAAGUUGAAGAGACGGAGCCGUAGGGAAACCGAGUCUUAAUAGGGCGCAUUAGUAUCAUGUCGUAGACCCGAAACCAUGUGACCUACCCAUGAGCAGGGUGAAGGUGAGGUAAAACUCACUGGAGGCCCGAACCAGGGCACGUUGAAAAGUGCUUGGAUGACUUGUGGGUAGCGGAGAAAUUCCAAACGAACUUGGAGAUAGCUGGUUCUCUCCGAAAUAGCUUUAGGGCUAGCGUCGAUGUUAAGUCUCUUGGAGGUAGAGCACUGUUUGAUUGAGGGGUCCAUCCCGGAUUACCAAUAUCAGAUAAACUCCGAAUGCCAAUGAGAUAUAAUCGGCAGUCAGACUGCGAGUGCUAAGAUCCGUAGUCGAAAGGGAAACAGCCCAGACCACCAGCUAAGGUCCCAAAAUAUAUGUUAAGUGGAAAAGGAUGUGGGGUUGCACAGACAACUAGGAUGUUAGCUUAGAAGCAGCUAUUCAUUCAAAGAGUGCGUAAUAGCUCACUAGUCGAGUGACCCUGCGCCGAAAAUGUACCGGGGCUAAAACAUAUUACCGAAGCUGUGGAUACCUUUAUAGGUAUGGUAGGAGAGCGUUCUAUGUGUGAAGAAGGUGUACCGUGAGGAGCGCUGGAACGCAUAGAAGUGAGAAUGCCGGUAUGAGUAGCGAAAGACAGGUGAGAAUCCUGUCCACCGUAUGACUAAGGUUUCCAGGGGAAGGCUCGUCCUCCCUGGGUUAGUCGGGACCUAAGGAGAGACCGAAAGGUGUAUCCGAUGGACAACAGGUUGAUAUUCCUGUACUAGAGUAUAUAGUGAUGGAGGGACGCAGUAGGCUAACUAAAGCGUGCGAUUGGAAGUGCACGUCUAAGCAGUGAGGUGUGAUAUGAGUCAAAUGCUUAUAUCUUUAACAUUGAGCUGUGAUGGGGAGCGAAGUUAAGUAGCGAAGUUAGUGAUGUCACACUGCCAAGAAAAGCUUCUAGCGUUAAUUAUACUCUACCCGUACCGCAAACCGACACAGGUAGUCGAGGCGAGUAGCCUCAGGUGAGCGAGAGAACUCUCGUUAAGGAACUCGGCAAAAUGGCCCCGUAACUUCGGGAGAAGGGGCGCUGGCUUUAAGUCAGCCGCAGUGAAUAGGCCCAAGCAACUGUUUAUCAAAAACACAGCUCUCUGCUAAAUCGUAAGAUGAUGUAUAGGGGGUGACGCCUGCCCGGUGCUGGAAGGUUAAGAGGAGCGCUUAGCAUUAGCGAAGGUGUGAAUUGAAGCCCCAGUAAACGGCGGCCGUAACUAUAACGGUCCUAAGGUAGCGAAAUUCCUUGUCGGGUAAGUUCCGACCCGCACGAAAGGCGUAAUGAUUUGGGCACUGUCUCAACGAGAGACUCGGUGAAAUUUUAGUACCUGUGAAGAUGCAGGUUACCCGCGACAGGACGGAAAGACCCCAUGGAGCUUUACUGCAGUUUGAUAUUGAGUAUCUGUACCACAUGUACAGGAUAGGUAGGAGCCUAUGAAAUCGGGACGCUAGUUUCGGUGGAGGCGUUGUU